GAGCAGCAUAAUGUCAGUGACUUAACAUUUCUUUCCCCAUGGGAGCCUGGUGUGCAAUGGUUGCAAACAGCAGCCUCCUUGGUAGUGUAUGCAUCCUGUUGCCCAUAUGGAUUGCUCUAAGGGACCUUGGAGACAAUU
ensembl:snoRNA SNORA70 Small nucleolar RNA SNORA70